UAUUCCAGUACUGUAUCUGGGGCCAGCACAUGCUGCGGGGUAAACAUCGUUGCUAUCAAGGGAUGGAUGAGAUGAAAGGGAGAAACGGCUGUUACCUGUGAAGAAAGAAAUGUUUUGUUUAGAAAAGCAGGUGGAGGCAUGACAUUAACAUACUCGCUAUCGACAGCCAAGACAAAGAAAAGAAGCAUAUUGAGUAAGAGAAGUUACCCGUUGUAGCAUCUUUCAAUAGCUCUUUGCUAUUCUCCGGGAACUUAUGAUGAUGAAUCCAGCCCCAAAACUGCCAGAAAAAUAAGCAUUGGUUGAUGACAGUGGAGACCAACACCAAGAAAGCUACAAAACUUUGGUUGGCCAUUCUCUUUCAAGUUCACAUCAAGAACAAGUUGGAGGGCCAUUACAGUCAUAAGCCUACUGUUGUGGUUACAUGACACGCACAUUUAUUGGAGUAGCUAUCCGUAAUUAAAAUCACCAGUCACCUCGGAAAAGGCAGAUAGAUGAUGACCAGAAAAGUAAAGAAAGAGUGCUUUCUCCAGGAAGCAUAUGGAAAGCUCCGUGACAAAACAACAACGAAUGCUUUCGUACAAGUUGAUUCAGACAAGUGAAGCUGUCAGCGACAUCAGGUACUGUAGUUUUGCUUUAAUGUCUUGUUGCAUUAUAAUAUCACAAUUCGUAGUUUAAUGGGUUUAUUCUCCUCAAUUAAAUUAUCAUAAGUUGUUGCGGUAGAUCAAGUAAGAACUUGCUAGAAACUAGACUGUGAACCUAGGCGCAUGUGUGAAACACCGUAGACAAGACAAUGCAGAUUAGGUUAGAUUAGAUCAUAAUUGAUUUGAUUAGAUUAGCGUGAACGAAGACAAAUAGACAAUGAUGAGGAAAAUUAUAAAUGGGAAAGCAAAGGUGGUUAAUUAGGAUGAAAAUGAGAAAGGAAGAAUCUGGGGGUGAAACAAAGGAACAAGGGACAAAGGAACAAACAGAAGUAGUUAGUAUUGAGUAUGGGACCAAGAGAGAAGCGGUGCACUUUUGUUCCAGAUUAAAGCAAACAUACAAAUGCUAAAUUUUGCAAUUUAGAGUCACUUCCAUUGCUCCCACACGCAUUAUCUUAUGUUAUAUAUCUUAGAAUUUGAUCUACUUGUGUCAAAUUCACGUGGACAUUCUUCUUUGUCAAUGUCCUUUUCAUGUUCCUCAAUCACAUCUUCUUCUUAUGGUAUUUAUCCAACGUUUUCACUUUUCUUAUUAUAUCACAUGGUAUUAUUCCUAGGUAGAUAUCAUUUAGAAAUUAAAGGGACUUAAUGUGAAGCAACUACAGAUGUUUUAACCUGUUAUUGGGCCAGAUGAUGAAGAUCAAGAUGGGAUGGGCUAGAGUGAGUUUGACUGUUAACUAAUGGACUAGCUUAUUCAAAAUGGCGAGUGAACAAUUAAGUCUUCUAGUGCGUUUAUUAUUAUCUUAAGUCAAGUUUCUGGCCGAUUCUUUUGGUGUGUGUGUGUGUGGGUAGGCCAUUUUGGUGAGGCGUCGCAACUGGUGUGUAAGCGAGAACAUUUAGAACACAUACGUGGACAUGUAGCGUUACUAGAAUGCGUGGCUGAUCCAAAAGAGGUUGGAAUGGAUCAAGGAGAUAUCGCCAUCUCUUGUUUAUGCCAUUUCUUCUAACAUGUUCGGAGUCUUUCUGUUCAUCAUCUGAUCCUGAUUCCAUGUUCUUGAGCACACAUAAUUAGAUUCCCCAAGAUUGUGUUUCCCUUUAUUCUUUUUAGAUACUAUACCUCUAUGAUGUAACCGAGUUCUAUGGGUGAAUCAGUGUAUAAGUUACAGCUACUUACAAGUCGUUUAUUGUCUACGUAAGGAUUAUACAAUGAAUAUAAUGUUUUUCUUAGCUA